ACAACUCUAUUCUAAUGUUGGCCAACAUAACAAAUUCUACAAUAUUUACAUUUUUAGAUCACUUUCGAUCUUUGAGGGGUGAUUCAACAACAAGUUGUCCCCUGCAGCAAACUGUCUCUGCAGUUGACAGAAGCUAAAACGUCACCGACAUGUCAUGCAACCGAACUGUCAAAGCAUGUUUACAAAUGCUUGAUUAUCAGUUCGAUCGGCAUGUUUUAUUAUAUCCGCGCGAGUGUUUCGGCGUGUUUAUGCGGUUUUUGGACAAAAUUUACGCUCAUUCAAGGCUGUGGCGGGUGAUGUUUUGCUGCCAGUUCGCAGUCUUCGCGGAGAAGACUGGACUGCAGAAAUAUCCCCUGAAAUCCCGGGAUUGACCGUGUUCUCCAUCUUGGCGAGCAAGAGGAAACAGGUUUGGCACUUUGGCCGUCGGUCAGCCCCCUCACUGCCGCUCUACGGACUCGGCGCUCGGACGAAGGACACUACGGAUGACUCCUUCGUCGUCCACCGAACCGCCAGCGCAGCUAUGGACUGCCAACAUAGAAGGUUCACAUUGCCAACACACUUCUUCCGCGGAUGUGCGUCGGGUCAUCAGGUUGGACCAGCAGGAUGUUCCGAGGGUAACGAUAUCAUCCCUCACCAACACCUGUGGCCAAUCAACCAUCAGUCGACGACACCACCUAGAAUAAGAAUGUGGCGAAUGUUACCUGGGAAAACUUAAAUAAACUUUUUCAAAUUUUCCUCCACGAUUUCCAUCA